rnacentral:rRNA from 1 species
AUUGAACGAUGGCGGCAUGCCUUACACAUGCAAGUCGAACGGCAGCAUGGAAGAGCUUGCUCUUCUGAUGGCGAGUGGCGAACGGGUGAGUAAAGCAUCCGAACGUACCGUGUAGUGGGGGAUAACGUAGCGAAAGUUACGCUAAUACCGCAUACGCACUGAGGUGGAAAGCAGGGGAUCGCAAGUACUUGCGCAAUACGAACGGCAGGUGUCAGAUUAGCUAGUUGGUAGGGUAACGGCCUACCAAGGCGACGAUCUGUAGCGGGUCUGAGAGGAUGAUCCGCCACACUGGGACUGAGUCACGGCCCAGACUCCUACGGGAGGCAGCAGUGGGGAAUUUUUGACAAUGGGGGAGACCCGGAUCCAGCCAUGCCGCGUGAGUAAAGAAGGCCUUCGGGUUGUAAAGCUCUUUCGGCUGGGAAGAAAUCGCACAGGCUAAUACUCUGUGUGGAUGACGGUACCAGCAUAAGAAGCACCGGCUAACUACGUGCCAGCCGCCGCGGUAA